AGCGAGACUAGAGUCACAUCCUGAUGCUGCUCGUUGGUCCUGGUGUGCUAUAGUUCUCGCAGAGUAACUCUCUGCUUAUUCAUUGGCUGCUGCUUUCUGUUGCUCAGCCAAAUCACCCAGCUCAGAAACAAGC
rnacentral:snoRNA from 1 species